ACAUGCCAACCCAUGUGGGUUCACUUUUUGAAUACGUUUUGCGAAUCACCGGUAGUUUGCGCCUAACUUAAUCCGUACUCCACGUUAAGCACGCGGCUAAGUCCAUGCGAAGACGAUGCCAAAAAAAAAAUUGUCGUGGUGUCUGUGCUUUGUCGGCAAGAUGGAUGUAUACAGUUUUUCUCAAAAAAAGAUGGAUACAUGCAAUGGAUUCAGAGGGCA
rnacentral:lncRNA from 1 species